rnacentral:rRNA from 1 species
UACGGAGGGAGCUAGCGUUGUUCGGAAUUACUGGGCGUAAAGCGCACGUAGGCGGCUUUGUAAGUUAGAGGUGAAAGCCCGGGGCUCAACCCCGGAAUUGCCUUUAAGACUGCAUCGCUUGAAUCCGGGAGAGGUGAGUGGAAUUCCGAGUGUAGAGGUGAAAUUCGUAGAUAUCGGGAGGAACACCGGUGGCGAAGGCGGCGACCUGGGUAGAUACUGACGCUGAGGCGCGAAAGCGUGGGGAGCAAACAGG